GUUUCACAUGCGAUUUAUUUGUGAUUGGCCAACAUUUACAUAUAGUUUGCAUAUUGUUAUUUGACGUUAUUUGUAUUGAUUUCAGUCUCUAGAGGAAAUGCGGGAGAUACGGCGUCUUAGGCUUCAAUCACAUUUCAAUCAAUCAAAUGUAUUUAUAAAGCCCUUCUUACAUCAGCUGAUAUCUCAAAGUGCUGUACAGAAACCCAGCCUAAAACCCCAAACAACAAGCAAUGCAGGUGUAGAAGCACCUCUCUCUGUCUGCAGACAGGAGGUGAAUUGUUGUCGUUUUGAGGUGUGGGAGAGCAGGCGGAGGAAGGCAAAGCAUUUCACCAGAAUGAUGCAAUCUGCGUAUUAUGUAAGGAAUAAACGGAGACGUUUUGUACAUUACCUUGGAAAUAAUGGACAACGCAGCGGGACAAGGUCAUGCACAGAAAGGAGGCGUUUAUCCCCUUUAUACCACAGUUUCCAAAGAGAACAAUACUAAAGCACACAUUUAUCGGCAGAAAUCCUGCUUGCUUACUGGCGUCUUAGAAAAAUUCGUUAGCCUGCGCACAUUACUUUUCCUGACAUCAUCACAUUUAUACAUUGUACUUUUCGAUUUACUUGAUAUAGUGGGAUGGCUAACAUUCGAUGUCGGCGGAUGCGUUGUCUUCGAGCCAAAAUAAGAAAUGCAAUCAUAAUUGACUAGCGCUUAUAAGGCGCACACACAACAAUUCCAUGACGACUAAAAGCAAGAGCGUGGGAUGAGUGUUUGGGCUCAAUCGAUCGCUAGUUUCACACAUAUAUUUUUUUAUAGAUAUUUUUUCCACCUUUUAUUUAACCAGAUAGGUGAGAACAUGUUCUCAUUUACAACUGCGACCUGGCCAAGAUAAAGCAAAGCAGUGCGACAGAAACAACAACACAGAGUUAGUUACACAUGGAAUAAACAAGCGUGCUGACACAAUAUAUAACAUUUACAAAAAGUCUAUAUACAGUGUGUGCAAAUGGCGUGAGGAGGUAAGGCAAUAAAUAGGCCAUAGUAGCGAAGUAAUUACAAUUUAGCAAAAUUAAAACUGGAGUGAUAGAUGGGCAGAUGAUGAUGUGCAAGUAGUGAUACGGGUGUGCAAAAGAGCAGAAAAGUAUAUAAAAACAAUAUGGGGAUGAUGUAGGUAGAUUAGAUGGGCUAUGUACAGCUGCAGCGAUCGGUUAGCUGCUCAGAUAGCUGAUGUUUAAAGUUAAUGAGGGACAUAUAAGUCUCCAACUUCAACCAUUUUUGCAAUUUGUUCCAGUCACACAUGUCCCCUCUCCUCACCUCUCACCGGCCUUCUUUCCUCUCCACUCACCUCCUUCAUCACCAAACUUUCCUUCUUAUCACCCCUCACCCUUAACAUCCUCAAUAUUUUAUUUUUUUCACCCCUCACCUUGUUAUCACCUUCUUCUUCUCCCUCAUCUCCAUCAUCCGAUCCAGAGACAUGAGUUUUUUUUUAAGAGCAUUUGUUUAUAAACACAAUGUAGUAUUUAAAACCUCAAUGUCAGAGUGUUUUUCCUUAGGAUCAAUCCUUAUUCGAUUUGUCAUACAUUUUGAAUGAGCUUUCUCAACAAAAAAAAUUCUCAAAAAACUUUAAUGCAUGGGGCUAAGAUAGACGUUGUCUUUGUGGACUCUGAGUCUAAGGUGGAGGGGGCAGUUGUCCAAUGGGGUCCCUCCAGGGAGUAUUACAUCUCCUCGUAAGGGACCCUCUUUGAGGGUCCGGAAGGAGCUAAACGUAUGCCGCUUGAUGUCCAUGCAUCACAUGAGGGCCUGUAUGGAACCAUUGGGAAAAUGAUCAGUGUGUAUGUGUGGUCCUUGGAGGGGUUGGGCCACACUUCUUCUCUGAGCGACUAUUCGCAGCAGUGUGUGGGACGCCUGCUCCUCCACUCAGUCUGGAGGUGAACCACACUACUCUGAAAGCAUAUUGGAAAAUAUCAAAAAAAGCAGAGGACCUUUCCGAGGUGAAGAACAAAUUGGAGGAAUUGGUAGACUGGCUGAGCCUAUUGGGGCUGAAAAGGAUUACUGUCAAGACAAUGGAGGACAGGGAUGGUGUGAUUGAAUUGGUGGCUCAACAAUUUGUCCGAGGGAGCCUGCAGGUGGCCUUGGAGCAGUUCAUACAUGGUCUCAACUCUCUUGGGCUGCUGGAGGUAUUGGGGAACGACCCGGACAGCUUCUGAGUACUCUUUGUUGACCCCAUAAAGCCUCUCACUGCCAAAGACCUGAUGGACCUGUUUAAAGUAACCUAUUCCCUACCUGGCGGCAAAUGGCGGUGGUUGGAGAAUGACACCAUCUGCCACUGGUUCAACUGGCUGGCUGAGGUGCAAGAAUGUCCUCCUCUAACAGUGAUGAUGGUGUUGGAGUUUACUACUGGGGCAACGGGGGUGCCACCCCUGGGGUUUGAGGUCACCCCGACAAUCGAAUUCCUCCACACAGCGCGAGGGCGUCUCGCUGGGCAGCAGAAGAAAAAGUACCCAGAGGCAAACAUGUGUGCUGUCACACUAAGGCUCCCUCUUCAUAGCACCUACAAUGCCUUUCGGGAAUUCAUGACCUCCGGUAUUGUGAAUUCCCCGCAUUUCGAUGUUGCAUAAAAACAUUUUUAUGAUACCGAAUGUAUAGAAUUGUAUCCAGUAGCUCUACACUAACAAUUAAGUGUUUCAAAAUGUAACUGCACAUCAACAUUUUAAGCAUUUAUCUACUGAUAGGUUUGGAUUUCUGAGCUUUAACUGGGAUUAAUCAUUAGUUAUAAGAUUAGUCAAUCGUUAUAGGAUUAGGCUUCCUGCUUUUCUCAGGUUUUUGCCUGGCAUAUGAGUUCUGUUAUACUCACAGACAUCAUUCAAACAGUUUUAGAAACUUCAGAGUGUUUUCUACCCAGAUAUACUAAUAAUAUGCAUAUAUUAGCAACUGGGCCUGAGUAGCAGAGUUUACUCUGGGCACCUUAUUCAUCCAAGCUACUCAAUACUGCCCCCAGCCAUAACAGGUUAUAGGAUUAAUCAUUAGUUAUAGGAUUGGGCUUCCUGCCUAGCAAUAACAUGCUAUGUUUAGCAAUAAGGAGGAGACUCCACCCAAAGUGGGGUAUGUAUACUACCACAGGUGAAACCAUGUCUUGGUCUGUUCAGCUGUUCGAUCCUUUGGGAUGAAUAAACUUGGUUUA